ACUACCUUAGUUUAUUUAAAAUAGUAGUUUGUCAUACUGCAGAAGAUUGGGUAACUUAUCAGGUUGUG
rnacentral:tRNA from 1 species